UACGGGGGGGGCAAGCGUUGUUCGGAAUUACUGGGCGUAAAGCGCGCGUAGGCGGGAAAUUAAGUGAGAAGUGAAAGGCUGGGGCUCAACCUCAUGCAGUGCUUCUCAUACUGGUUUUCUUGAGGGCGGUAGAGAAAAGUGGAAUGGCUGGUGUAGCGGUGAAAUGCGUAGAUAUCUGGAGGAACACCGGUGGCGAAGGCGGCAUCCUGGACCGACACUGACACUGAGGAGCGAAAGCCAGGGGAGCAAACGGG
rnacentral:rRNA from 1 species